rnacentral:rRNA from 1 species
GUGGGGAAUCUUCCGCAAUGGACGAAAGUCUGACGGAGCAACGCCACGUGAGUGAUGAAGGUCUUCGGAUUGUAAAGCUCUGUUAAUCGGGACGAAAGAGCCUAGUGUGAAUAAUGCUAGGAAGUGACGGUACCGGAAUAGAAAGCCACGGCUAACUACGUGCCAGCAGCCGCGGUAAUACGUAGGUGGCAAGCGUUGUCCGGAAUUAUUGGGCGUAAAGCGCGCGCAGGCGGAUCGUCCAGUCUGUCUUAAAAGUUCGGGGCUUAACCCCGUGAUGGGAUGGAAACUACAGAUCUAGAGUAUCGGAGAGGAAAGUGGAAUUCCUAGUGUAGCGGUGAAAUGCGUAGAUAUUAGGAAGAACACCAGUGGCGAAGGCGACUUUCUGGACGAAAACUGACGCUGAGGCGCGAAAGCCAGGGGAGCGAACGGGAUUAGAAACCCCAGUAGUCC